GUCCACGCCCUAAACGAUGUCAACUGGUUGUUGGACGGCUUGCUGUUCAGUAACGAAGCUAACGCGUGAAGUUGACCGCCUGGGUAGUACGGCCGCAAGGUUGAAACUCAAAGGAAUUGACGGGACCCGCACAAGCGGUGGAUGAUGUGGUUUAAUUCGAUGCAACGCGAAAACCUUACCUACCCUUGACAUGUCUGGAAUCCUGAAGAGAUUUGGGAGUGCUCGAAAGAGAACCAGAACACAGAUGCUGCAUGGCCGUCGU
rnacentral:rRNA from 1 species